CGGGGAGUGGCGCAGUCUGGUAGCGCACCUGCUUUGGGAGCAGGGGGUCGUGGGUUCGAAUCCCGCCUCCCCGACCA
rnacentral:tRNA from 1 species